UGCGUAGGCGGACUAAUAAGUCAGUGGUGAAAUCUUUCGGCUCAACCGAGAAACUGCCAUUGAUACUGUUAGUCUUGAGUUCGGUUGAGGUAGGCGGAAUGUGUAAUGUAGCGGUGAAAUGCUUAGAUAUUACACAGAACACCAAUUGCGUAGGCAGCUUACUAGACCGACACUGACGCUGAGGCGCGAAAGCGUGGGGAGCGAACAGGAUUAGAUACCCUGGUAGUCC
rnacentral:rRNA from 1 species